GUGUCUCCACGAUGUGAGGCACGUGCGGAGGCCCCUCCUCCUCCUUCCCCCUCAGUGAUACUUGCAAGAUUUGCGGGGAGGCCGGUUACAACGGGGAGAAGGAUCCAUUCCGAGUUCUUCAAUCAAGAAGGGUUUCGGAUUUGGGAAUGGAUCCAAAGGCAAGGUUGGGAGUAUCUUUGCUCCCUAGAUGUGGUUAUCUACCCCGGAUUGGUACAAGAGUUCUAUGCCUUCCUCAAGACUGGUAUGGGAGGGCUUGUUUCAGAAGUUCGAGGGGUUCG
rnacentral:lncRNA from 1 species